rnacentral:lncRNA from 1 species
AUCUGUUCUGCAAAAGUUCAGUCUGUCCUUUUUCAGAUUCCACAUGUCAGUGAAAGCAUUUGAUGUUGGUGUCUCAUUGUAUGGCUGACUUCACUUAGCAUGAUAAUUUCUAGGUCCAUCCAUGUUGCUAAAAAUGCCGGUAUUUUAUUCCUUUUAAUGGCUGAGUAACAUUCCAUUGUGUAUAUGUAGAAGAAAGUUUAUUUAAAAAAAAAAUCCUAUGCCCUAGAAAAGGCAAAAUAAAAUAAAAUAAAUAAAUAAAUAAAAUAAAAAAUCCUACCCACCAAGCUGUCCAUCAGAGUUACAUUGAAAGCCCAUGGUUUAGGGAGUUCCCGUGUGGCUCAGUGGUUAACGAAUUCGACUAGGAACCAUGAGGUUGCGGGUUCGAUCCCUGGCCUUGCUCAGUGGGUUAAGGAUCCAGUGUUGCCAUGAGUUGUGGUGUAGGUCACAGAUGUAGCUCGGAUCCCGCGUUGCUGUGGCUCUGGCGUAGGCCGGUGGCUACAGCUCCGAUUCGACCCCUAGCCUGGGAACCUCCAUAUACUGUGGGAGCGGCCUAAGAAAUGCCCAUGGUUUAAAAGAAAAGAGAAUUACAAUCUCAAACAUUAACAAGAGAAUCCCAAACGUGCCUUGCAUUUGGGAAGAGCCUGAUGGAGCAUCCACAGAUCUCAUGACACACACAAUCUUAUUGCACAUGGUCCCCACCACUGGUCUCAAACAAAGCAGUAAGAUUUAAUGCAAAACCUCUGUCUUCCAGCCCCUUCACUGGGCCCCCAAAUGAGACAUAUACGGGCUAAAGUUUCAGGAGAGCAAGACCAAGAGUGGAGCUCACCACCAGUAGGAAUGGUCCCACUGCCCUCCUCAGGGCUCUCACAUGGACCUUCCUUGCCACUGCCCCAUCUCUCCAGCUCCCCCAACUCACACCUGCCUCCUGCCUUUAUACCCCUUCUCCCCUUCAUGUGAGUGUUUUGGCUUCGACCCCAGUUCUCCUAACAGGAAGGAGAGCAGGGAAGUGGGAACCUGAACGGACCGCCUUCUGCUUCUGCCAAUCCCUGGCCGAAUCAGCCAUGAGGGUCACUGGAGAGCCAAGCCAUCCUAACACAGGGGACCUUCUCUGAACACUCACUGAGUGCUAGGUGCCUUCUGUACAUCAUCUCAUGUCACCCUCACCAGAAACUCGAGAGUAUCAAGCCCUCACAUACAAAGAAACAAGAUCCAGUUUCACCAAGCUAGAAGUGGCAGAGGUGAGAUUCAAACCCCUACCUGCUCCAAAGCCCAUGUCUUCCCUAUCACAAUACAAGAGAAAAGGUAAAGGGACACGGAGCAUUUAUUGUCGUGCAGCCUCAGCAGCACCUGGGAGCUUGUUAGAAAUGCAGUCUCUCAGGCCCCUGCCGGGCCUUCUGAGAGGGAAUCUGAACUUUAACAAGAUUCCAGGCAAUUUCGAUGCCGUUUAAAGUUUGAGAAACCCGCCUCUGCAUCCGUGGUUCGGGAUUCGCAGCCCAGGCUGUACACAGGAAUCAUCUGGAUAGCUUUGCACUAAUGCCAAUGCCCGGGGCCCACAUCUGUGGUUCUGAUUUAACUGUCCAGUUUAUUAAAAGCUCCCCAGGUGAUUCCAAUGGGCAGCAACCUUUGAGAACCACUAGCAGAAGAAAAGGGACAGUUGACAGCUGUGGAGUCUGGGUGCCACUAGCUACUUGCCUGUCUUCCCAGGCAGAGGUUUGAGAGCAGCAUCAGGGAGGCCCAGUAAUAGGACAGAGACAGACUGGCUUUCCUGCCCGCCGGCGCGAGCGCGGUUAGACAGACAUCGCCUGUGGAGGGACGCGGGGUAGGGGCUCCUGCUCUGGAAGCCCAGCAGUCUGGGUGCCAGAAACGCAGGGGGAGCGAGUUCGCCGGGCUCCGCCCGCGCCUUGAGUGGGGCUGGGAGAACGGGUGCAGCGCGCAGGCGCAGAGGCGGGGCGGGACCAGGCGGCGGCCCGCUCGGUUCCGGCGGGUAGGGGUGACUCAGAGGGCGGGGGCCGCAGCCUGCUCUCGCCCCCGCCCCCACCGGGCCGGCAACGGCCGCCUCCAGGGCCGCCUCCGGAAGGGGUGGGGCCGGGCAGCCCGGCAGCAGGCAGGUGGGCAGGUGCGCCGCCGCCCGGGGAGUGCGCAUUCGAGCUCUUUGUUGAUCAAACCCGCCCAGCCCCGGGACUGGGCGCGAGCCCCCGGAGCUGAGUCAUGGCCGCCUGCUGGGUGCACGGCCACAUGGCCCCCCACCACGUGCAUCCCUUUCCUGAAGCUGGUUUGUUUCAUGAGGCCGCCAAAAAGUCAGAAACCAGGGAGAGGUGGCUUCUGUUCUAAAAAGCCCUUUACUCGUAAUUCAUAAGCAAGGUCACUCCAGCACUCACACAGCGCUGAGCGAGAGGCACCGUCCCUGAGGAUGCCACCUCCAGGAGGAUCGUGAUUUUGAGGCUUGAGGCAAAGCUCCCAGAUAGACCCAUCGUGACACGGUCAGGAAGAUUCCUCUAUAGCUGCCCCAUGUCCCCACACCUGCCUGGGGUAUGGGCUGAGAAAGCGGGCCUAGGGUCACCUGGAGAACUUGUCAGAAAUGCACAUCCGCCAGCCUUGUUGGCAGAGCCUGAGAUUCAACAGAACCAGCUACAGCUGUGGAAUCUGCAUUUUAACAAGGGUCCUGACGUUUUCUAAGCAGGUGCUUGGUAGACUUGACUUUGAGAGUCACUGAUUUUGAGGAGGUUCCCCCUGAGCUUAGAUGCCUUAACUACAAAUGGGUCCCCACUGAAGGAUCAUGAGUUGAGUUUGCAAGGAGGCACAACUAGCAGUUGGCAGAAGGAGUCAGGUCAGGGUCACCAGGCCUCCACACCUGUGUUUAAUUUAUGUGCACGGGCUAAACCUGCAUUGCAGCCGUCCUCAAGGAGUUUCUAGGAGUUCCCGUUGUGGCUCAGUGGUUAACGAAUCUGACUAGGAACCAUGAGGUUGAGGGUUCGAUCCCUGACCUCGCUCAGUGGGUUGAGUCUGGCGUUGCCAUGAGCUGUGGUGUAGGUUGUAGACGCGGCUUGGAUCCCGUGUUGCUGUGGC